GACGAACGCUGGCGGCGUGCUUAACACAUGCAAGUCGAACGGAAAGGCCCUGCUUUUGUGGGGUGCUCGAGUGGCGAACGGGUGAGUAACACGUGAGUAACCUGCCCUUGACUUUGGGAUAACUUCAGGAAACUGGGGCUAAUACCGGAUAGGAGCUCCUGCUGCAUGGUGGGGGUUGGAAAGUUUCGGCGGUUGGGGAUGGACUCGCGGCUUAUCAGCUUGUUGGUGGGGUAGUGGCUUACCAAGGCUUUGACGGGUAGCCGGCCUUAGAGGGUGACCGGCCACAUUGGGACUGAGAUACGGCCCAGACUCCUACGGGAGGCAGCAGUGGGGAAUAUUGCACAAUGGGCGGAAGCCUGAUGCAGCAACGCCGCGUGCGGGAUGACGGCCUUCGGGUUGUAAACCGCUGUCGCCUGUGACGAAGCGUGAGUGACGGUAACGGGUAAAGAAGCACCGGCUAACUACGUG
rnacentral:rRNA from 1 species